CUACGGGCGGCAGCAGUGGGGAAUAUUGCACAAUGGAGGAAACUCUGAUGCAGCAACGCCGCGUGGAGGAUGACACUUUUCGGAGCGUAAACUCCUUUUAUAUAGGAAGAUAAUGACGGUACUAUAUGAAUAAGCACCGGCUAACUCCGUGCCAGCAGCCGCGGUAAUACGGAGGGUGCAAGCGUUACUCGGAAUCACUGGGCGUAAAGAGCGUGUAGGCGGAUUAAAAAGUCAGAAGUGAAAUCCUAUAGCUUAACUAUAGAACUGCUUCUGAAACUCUUAAUCUAGAAUAUGGGAGAGGUAGAUGGAAUUUCUGGUGUAGGGGUAAAAUCCGUAGAGAUCAGAAGGAAUACCGAUUGCGAAGGCGAUCUACUAGAACAUUAUUGACGCUGAGACGCGAAAGCGUGGGGAGCAAACAGGAUUAGAUACCCCCGUAGUC
rnacentral:rRNA from 1 species